rnacentral:rRNA from 1 species
AUUGAACGCUGGCGGCAGGCCUAACACAUGCAAGUCGAGCGGCAGCGGAAAGUAGCUUGCUACUUUGCCGGCGAGCGGCGGACGGGUGAGUAAUGUCUGGGAAACUGCCUGAUGGAGGGGGAUAACUACUGGAAACGGUAGCUAAUACCGCAUAACGUCGCAAGACCAAAGAGGGGGACCUUCGGGCCUCUUGCCAUCAGAUGUGCCCAGAUGGGAUUAGCUAGUAGGUGGGGUAACGGCUCACCUAGGCGACGAUACCUAGCUGGUCUGAGAGGAUGACCAGCCAAACUGGAACUGAGACACGGUCCAGACUCCUAAGGGAGGCAGCAGUUGGUAAUAUUGCACAAUGGGCGCAAGCCUGAUGCAGCCAUGCCGCGUGUAUGAAGAAGGCCUUCGGGUUGUAAAGUACUUUCAGCGGGGAGGAAGGCGUUGUGGUUAAUAACCACAGCGAUUGACGUUACCCGCAGAAGAAGCACCGGCUAACUCCGUGCCAGCAGCCGCAGUAA